UGUCUUUUUGAAGUUAAUUUAAAGUCUAAUCUGCCCACUGAUUUAAUAUUAAAGGGCUGCAGUAUUUUGACUGUACAAAGGUAGCAUAAUCAUUAGUCAUUUAAUUGAUGACUUGUAUGAAAGAUUGGAUGAAGUAUAAUCUGUCUCUUAAUUAAUAAGUAGAAUUUAAUUUUUUGAUUAAAAAGUUAAAAUAGUUUAAAAAGACGAGAAGACCCUAUAGAGUUUUAUAAAUAAAGUUAAUUAAUAUUAUUUAUAAAAAUUAAAUUAAAAUUUUUUUAUUUAUUAUAUUGGGGUGAUAGAAAAAUAUAUUUAACUUUUUUUUUUAUUUAAAACAUUUAUAAGUGAUUAAAUGAUCCAAUAUUAUUGAUUAUAAGAAAAAAUUACCUUAGGGAUAACAGCGUAAUUUUUUUUUUUAGUUCGUAUAAGAAAGAGAGUUUGCGACCUCGAUGUUGGAUUAAGAUAAAAUUUAAAUGUAGAAG
rnacentral:rRNA from 1 species